rnacentral:ncRNA from 2 species
UAAAUGAAAACAGUUUCAAACGGUGGUAUCCAGGAAAAGGGAACCCCGUCAUCUCCGAUUAACCGGAGAGAGUCGGGGACGGACCCGCCGCUGUAGUCCCGAUCCCGAACUAAAUUCGGGAUAAGUGCCUUGACAAAAAAGCCACUGUCCUUCGACAAGCUCUGGAUGGGAAGGCGAGUUAAGGUCGGGAGAGUCAGAAAACCUGCCUGGAUAUUCUUCACAAG